GGGACCGUGGGGUAGCUUGGUAUCCUUCGAGCCUUGGGUGCUCGCCACCUCGGUUCAAAUCCGAGCGGUCCCA
rnacentral:tRNA from 1 species